UGGAAGCGUCCCCUGCAGGACCUCCAAGAGCCAGGGAGUGAUGACCAUCCCACCGCCCAUCAGCUUGGCAUCGAGAACAGCUACCUGGGUGGUGACAGUGCCUGGAUACUCUGCCAUGCCACGCUGAAAGGGUGAGCCCCACGGAUGUCAUCAAAACAGCGGAUUAGAAAUGCAAACCUAUGCUUUCAACUCUUCUUUCUAAAAGGCCCAGGGCUCCACCAGAAAGCACUACUGGCAUCAAGGAGAGCAUCAUCUCCAGACUGCAGCAGAGAUAAAACAAUCUCACAGGAGGAUUUCAAAGGGGUGACAACCAUCUGCUGCCUCCCCAGGUGAAUGAGCCAGCAGCCUGGGCAGCAUACACAAUGAGAGCUUUUCUUUAAUAAAUAGGAGGUUUCAACAUAGUAUGUCACUGUCUUACCUGUUCUAUAGAUGGAAAAAGUAAAUUUCACAACUUACCUGCAAUGAAAA
ensembl:lncRNA